AAUCAAUAAAGGCAAACCCGCUGAAAGGCGGGGACGCAAAGCCAUGGGUCUACAGUCAGCUCUCCCUAAGCUGACCAUGAUUGCCAGGUUGCUGAU
rfam:Tumebacillus algifaecis strain THMBR28 chromosome, complete genome.